GACGAACGCUGGCGGCGUGCUUAACACAUGCAAGUCGAACGGAAAGGCCCUGCUUUUGUGGGGUGCUCGAGUGGCGAACGGGUGAGUAACACGUGAGUAACCUGCCCUUGACUUUGGGAUAACUUCAGGAAACUGGGGCUAAUACCGGAUAGGAGCUCCUGCUGCAUGGUGGGGGUUGGAAAGUUUCGGCGGUUGGGGAUGGACUCGCGGCUUAUCAGCUUGUUGGUGGGGUAGUGGCUUACCAAGGCUUUGACGGGUAGCCGGCCUGAGAGGGUGACCGGCCACAUUGGGACUGGGGUACGGCCCAGACUCCUACGGGAGGCAGCAGUGGGGAAUAUUGCACAAUGGGCGGAAGCCUGAUGCAGCAACGCCGCGUGCGGGAUGACGGCCUUCGGGUUGUAAACCGCUUUCGCCUGUGACGAAGCGUGAGUGACGGUAAUGGGUAGAGAAGCACCGGCUAACUACGUG
rnacentral:rRNA from 1 species